rnacentral:rRNA from 1 species
AUUGAACGCUGGCGGCGUGCUUAACACAUGCAAGUCGAUCGGUAACGCGGGGGCAACCCUGGCGACGAGAGGCGGACGGGUGAGGAACGCUUGGGAAUCUGCCCUUCAGCGGGGGACAACACGGGGAAACUCGUGCUAAUACCGCAUACGCUCCACGGAGGAAAGCCGGGGACCGCAAGGCCUGGCACUGAAGGAUGAGCCCAAGUCGGAUUAGCUAGUUGGCGGGGUAACGGCCCACCAAGGCGACGAUCCGUAGCUGGUCUGAGAGGACGAUCAGCCACAAUGGGACUGAGACUCGGCCCAGACUCGUACGGGAGGCAGCAGUGGGGAAUAUUGGACAAUGGGGGAAAGCCUGAUCCAGCCAUGCCGCGUGUGUGAAGAAGGUCUUCGGAUUGUAAAGCACUUUAAGUUGGGAGGAAGGGCAGUAAGUUAAUACCUUGCUGUUUUGACGUUACCGACAGAAUAAGCACCGGCUAACUUCGUGCCAGCAGCCGCCGUAAGAC